rnacentral:rRNA from 1 species
UAUGCAGGCGGAUCGUUAAGUCGGGGGUGAAAUCCCGAGGCUCAACCUCGGAACUGCCUUCGAUACUGGCGACCUUCGAGUCCGGGAGAGGUGAGUGGAACUCCGAGUGUAGAGGUGAAAUUCGUAGAUAUUCGGAAGAACACCAGUGGCGAAGGCGGCUCACUGGCCCGGUACUGACGCUGAGAUACGAAAGCGUGGGGAGCAAACA